GCAGGCCUGUCCCUUUGCUUUCUUAAAACUGCGCACCGUCUGAGGCCACUUCGAGCCUACUGGAUCCCUGGUUCCAACCCAGUAGGAUCACAGAAGCAGGGCCAGCUGCCAGGAGAAAAAGUUGUUCUCUUCUACCAAAUUUUCCUGCCAUCAAAUGCUCAUUGAGUGACAAUAGAGAAAGCACCAUCAUCCUGAAGCAUCAGAUUGGGAGAAAAGUCCGCUCUCGAGAGCAUCAACUAUGUAGAAAGGGGACCAGCUUCUGCAAAAGACUUGAGACAGCUCACAAUGAAGUACUCUGUAUUAGGCAGGGUAAUAUUGAUUGCAAGUGACAGAAACCCAAUCAGAAACUCACUGGAGUCAUGAGGAACACUUAUUGGCUCAGUAAAGGCAAAAUAGACCUUCAGAGAAAUAAAGUCUGGGAAAUUGACUAGAUCCUCACUGAAAGAACUACUAAAGGAUGUACUUAUGGAAGAAGAAAAUUACAAAGUGAAAGAACUGGGAUGCAAGAAGUAAUGGUGAGCAUGGAAUUUGGCAAAGAUUCAAGUAAAACAAAGCAAGGACUGAGUAUAUAAAAUCAUAAUCAUAACAAAUUUUGACUAUUAUAUGUAACAGCCAAUCUCUUAACUGG
rnacentral:lncRNA from 1 species